GACGGAGGAUGCAAGUGUUAUCCGGAAUCACUGGGCGUAAAGCGUCUGUAGGUGGUUCAAUAAGUCAACUGUUAAAUCUUGAGGCUCAACUUCAAAAUCGCAGUCGAAACUAUUGGACUCGAGUAUAGUAGGGGUAAAGGGAAUUUCCAGUGGAGCGGUGAAAUGCGUAGAGAUUGGAAAGAACACCGAUGGCGAAGGCACUUUACUGGGCUAUUACUAACACUGAGAGACGAAAGCU
rnacentral:rRNA from 1 species